UUUUUUUUUUUUUUUUUUUGUCUAAACGAUAAAUUCUAUAGAUUCUUUGGGGGAGGGGAACCUUUGGGGGAGAGGAACCUAAAGAGUUUAAAGGGAAUCCGAUACUCCUACUCUGCAUUAGGAGGAGGGGAUCUAAAAAGGUCAAGAGGAAUUUGAUAAACCAACACCGGUUCAGACGGUGCUUAUGCACCUGCUAGCGAAAUAUUUUCAGGAAAGUCUAAAUUAGAAUGCAGAUCAAGGGAUUUGAUCUCUAAACCUAUACUAAAGGAGAGCUUUAAAGCUCUUUUGGUAGCCAGCUGUUCAAAGUUUUGCAGUAACUAGUGGGCAUCUUUCUUCAAGUUCUCUUGUACAUUUUGGCUUCAUACAUUUGUCUUAGAGAUUCUACAUUUACUCUUCUCCAGUCUUAUUUGAGAAAGUACAGGAAGUCAAGAUCGACAGUGACAAAACAUUGUGGAGGAAAAGAAUUCAGAAACUACAGCAAGGCACUAACCAAAGUUGGAUCGGAUAGAAUCAAAGUCUGUUUCAUCCUCCUUGGAUUCAAUUGCCAGGCAGGCUUCCACAUCCACACCGUAACAGCAUAAACGACACAAGCUCCCUUUCUUUUAUACUGUUACCAGUCUACUAGUAGAUGAAGGAGUCUAAGCCAUUCCUAAACAAAGAUGCAUUCCAAAUAAACUACGCGCUAAGAAAAGAAUUUGACUUCGUGGCUGGGAACAAGAGAGGGCACAGGAACUGGCGGCGAUCUUAUUAACAAGCUUGAGGCUGUCUUUCAUACUACAAAACCUGCAGAACUUGGGCUUCAAAUAGCGCUAAGAUCAAUCAAAAUCGCGACCGAUAAGGGGACAUGGACCUGAAAACAAGAUUUUGCUAUAUUGUCUAUGACAUGAACUAACAGAGUAGAUAUGAAUUCACCUCGUGGAACCAAUCACUUAAACAGCCAAUUAAAUGGUAAAACUUAAUUUAAUUCCUAGUGCAGGGACAAUCACGGAAUUUAUACAGACAUGGAAAUAAUGAGAAAGGAUGACUGCGAAGAGGUGCCUUUUUCCCCCCUUUUCCAUUCACUAGUUGACAAAUUCAUGUAGGUUCCCACUUCCCACUUAAUUUGAUUUUGUCAAAAAAUAUAAAAGUAGAUUUUGCCUUCUAAUUGCAAUUCCAUUUACUCACUGAUAAACAAAGAACCCGAGAUUUCCAUCAGUUUCUGUAAAAAUGACGCAUGCUUUUUUCCCUGACAUGGGACCCUUAAAGUGCUUACUACGAGGAUUUUAACUCAGCAGCAAAUAUUCAAGUCUUGGGUGCACGCUACGUUAUUGAAGCAGAUAUAGUAUGACUAUAGUAUUGACUUUUCGAGUAUAGAAUUCGCCACGUUUGGGAUGGGAGAGGAAGGGGAAAGGGGAAGAGAGGCGGAGAUAGUGAAAACACGAGGACAUUCAAACUAGAAAAGAUACACAAGUCUAACUUUGAUGCGCAGGUAGAGAAUAUUUGGGCUGAAUUCAUCCACGUGCGCAGUCAACUCAACUCCUUUGACAUCAGGACCAUGGACGAGGAGCAUGCAUUUAAGUUUGACGACUUCAUGAAAUUAUUGAAGAUAACUUUUAUUUUGAAACCUAUUAUCUGCUACUUCCUCAUAAGAAGCACCACAGUGUGUGCCGCAAUACUCCUAUUCUCCCCAAGGCUGUCAACCUUCUCAUGAGUUUUUGCUUUCAAAUUCACAACAGAAGGAUCCGCGCCAAGCAGCUCGCACAAAUUGGACCUGAUAA
rnacentral:lncRNA from 1 species